rnacentral:rRNA from 1 species
CGGACGGGUGAGUAACGCGUGAGAAUCUGCCCUCAGGAGGGGGAUAACAGUUGGAAACGACUGCUAAUACCCCAUAUGCCGAAAGGUGAAACGAAUUUCGCCUGGGGAUGAGCUCGCGUCUGAUUAGCUUGUUGGUGGGGUAAAGGCCUACCAAGGCUUCGAUCAGUAGCUGGUCUGAGAGGACGAUCAGCCACACUGGGACUGAGACACGGCCCAGACUCCUACGGGAGGCAGCAGUGGGGAAUUUUCCGCAAUGGGCGAAAGCCUGACGGAGCAACGCCGCGUGAGGGAUGAAGGCCUUUGGGCUGUAAACCUCUUUUCUCAAGGAAGAAGAUCUGACGGUACUUGAGGAAUAAGCCACGGCUAAUUCCGUGCCAGCAGCCGCGGUAAUACGGGAGUGGCAAGCGUUAUCCGGAAUUAUUGGGCAUAAAGCGUCCGCAGGCGGCCGUCUAAGUCUGUUGUUAAAUCGUGGAGCUUAACUCCAUCACGGCAAUGGAAACUGUUCGGCUUGAGUGUGGUAGGGGCAGAGGGAAUUUCCGGUGUAGCGGUGAAAUGCGUAGAUAUCGGGAAGAACACCAGUGGCGAAAGCGCUCUGCUAGGCCAUUACUGACGCUCAUGGACGAAAGCCAGGGGAGCGAAAGGGAUUAGAUACCCCUGUAGUC